rnacentral:rRNA from 1 species
CCUACGGGAGGCAGCAGUGGGGAAUAUUGCACAAUGGGCGCAAGCCUGAUGCAGCCAUGCCGCGUGUGUGAAGAAGGCCUUCGGGUUGUAAAGCACUUUCAGCGGGGAGGAAGGCGUUAAGGUUAAUAACCUUGUCGAUUGACGUUACCCGCAGAAGAAGCACCGGCUAACUCCGUGCCAGCAGCCGCGGUAAUACGGAGGGUGCAAGCGUUAAGCGGAAUUACUGGGCGUAAAGCGCACGCAGGCGGUCUGUCAAGUCGGAUGUGAAAUCCCCGGGCUCAACCGGGGAACUGCAUUCGAAACUGGCAGGCUAGAGUCUUGUAGAGGGGAGUAGAAUUCCAGGUGUAGCGGUGAAAUGCGUAGAGAUCUGGAGGAAUACCGGUGGCGAAGGCGGCCCCCUGGACAAAGACUGACGCUCAGGUGCGAAAGCGUGGGGAGCAAACAGGAUUAGAUACCCGUGUAGUC